GUCGUGAGAUGUUGGGUUAAGUCCCGCAACGAGCGCAACCCUUAUCCUAUGUUGCCAGCGCGUAAUGGCGGGGACUCGUGGGAGACUGCCGGGGUCAACUCGGAGGAAGGUGGGGACGACGUCAAGUCAUCAUGCCCCUUACGUCCAGGGCUGCAAACAUGCUACAAUGGCCGGUACAAAGGGCUGCUAUCCCGCGAGGGUGAGCGAAUCCCAAAAAGCCGGUCUCAGUUCGGAUCGGAGUCUGCAACUCGACUCCGUGAAGCUGGAGUUGCUAGUAAUCCCGGAUCAGCUACGCCGGGGUGAAUACGUUCCCGGGCCUUGUACACACCGCCCGUCACACCACGAAAGUUGGUAACACCCGAAGCCAGUGGCCCAACCGCAAGGAGGGAGCUGUCGAAGGUGGGACCAGCGAUUGGGGUGAAGUCGUAACAAGGUAGCCGUACCGGAAGGUGCGGCUGGAUCACCUCCUUUCUAAGGAGAGUUGCCACAUUCCGUGGCACACUCCGAGUCGAUCACUCGCUACUCGAGCUUCCAGGACGUGACCACCGAUCGCAGGUUUCGACCUCUCGGUGCGAGCUCUGGGUGCUCGGUCCUCCUCUGUUCCGUUUUCUAGGGGCGCAUCUGCGCGCCCCGACUGCUCCUUGAGAAUUCGAUAGCAAGCACGAGCAUCUUUUUGAAGUGAUUUCCAAGCUAUGAAGAGCCAACGGUGGAUGCCUUGGCGCCUGAUGCCGAUGAAGGACGUGGAUGGCUGCGAUAAGCCACGGGGAGCUGCCUAUCAAGCUUCGAUCCGUGGAUGU
rnacentral:sRNA from 1 species